rfam:Glycine soja cultivar W05 scaffold1570_122, whole genome shotgun sequence.
GGAUCCGAGGCUCAAUUGUAGUGGGUCUGACUCCAGAUCAGAAGAUUGCGUGUUAGAUUCGCGGUCGGGUUCA